rnacentral:tRNA from 2 species
GCCCUCGUAGUUUAACGGAUAGAACGACGGUCUUCGGAACCGUUGAUGUAGGUUCGAUUCCUACCGAGGGCA